AGAGUUUGAUCCUGGCUCAGGAUGAACGCUGGCGGCGUGCUUAAUACAUGCAAGUCGAACGGAGAGGUAGUAAUACUUCUUAGUGGCGAACGGGUGAGUAACGCGUUGGUGACCUGCCCCGAAGACAGGGAUAACAGCUCGAAAGGGCUGCUAAUACCCGAUGAUGUCUCGUUAGUUAGAGAGGCGAGAAGAAAGUCGCAAGACGCUUUGGGAGGGGCCUGCGUCCCAUCAGCUAGUUGGUAAGGUAAAAGCUUACCAAGGCGAAGACGGGUAGGGGACCUGAGAGGGUGAUCCCCCACAUUGGCACUGAAACACGGGCCAAACACCUACGGGUGGCAGCAGUAGGGAAUAUUGCACAAUGGGCGAAAGCCUGAUGCAGCAACGCCGCGUGCGCGAAGAAGGCCUUCGGGUCGUAAAGCGCUUUUCGGGGAGAAGAGGAAGGACGGUAUCCCCGGAAUAAGGCUCGGCUAACUACGUGCCAGCAGCCGCGGUAAAACGUAGGAGCCAAGCGUUAUCCGAAUUCACUGGGCGUAAAGCGCGUGCAGGCGGCCUGCUAAGUUGGCUGUGAAAUCUCCUGGCUCAACUGGGAGAGGCCGGUCAAUACUGGUAGGCUUGAGGGCGACAGAGGGAGGUGGAAUUCCGGGUGUAGUGGUGAAAUGCGUAGAUAUCCGGAGGAACACCAGAGGCGAAGGCGACCUCCUGGGUCGUACCUGACGCUCAGAUGCGAAAGCUAGGGGAGCAAACGGGAUUAGAAACCCCGGUAGUCCUAGCUGUAAACGAUGUAGACUGGGUGUCGGCGGGGUAAAAGCCGUCGGUGCCGAAGCUAACGCGAUAAGUCUACCGCCUGGGGACUACGGCCGCAAGGUUAAAACUCAAAGGAAUUGAUGG
rnacentral:rRNA from 1 species